CUCUCAAAAAUCCUCCAGUCGCCCAACCAAUACCAACCCCCCUCGUUCCUCUAAUAGAUCAUCACCUCGCAUAAUCUGUCAAAUAUGUGAGAAACCCAACCACCAUGCUCGUAAUUGCUACAACCGCAACAACAUGGAUACCUACUCACCAAAUCGAUCAUCUAACCGUCCACAAGCCAAUUUGGUUACUCCCUCGACUAAUUCUAUGAUGUCUCCUUCGACCAUUGUUGAUAAUUCAUGGUUUGCAGACUCAGGUGCCACCAAUCAUGUUACGUCGGACUUGUCUCAACUAUCCAUUCACACGGACUAUAAUGGUGAGGACCAGCUUGCUGUAGGAUCCUCAGGGAAAAAUACUACUUCGAGGGUCAAUUGAUAAUGGUUUAUAUCGUUUGGAUGGUGGUGGGCUUCCUGUUAUCUCAUCCUCAACUCCUCGUGCUUUUGUCUUCUCUCGAGCAUCACUCCAAGCGUGGCAUGAACGCCUUAGUCAUCCUCACGAGCAACUUUUACGUCGUCUAGUCUCUAGUUUUAAUCUUCCAGUGUCAUCCACUAAAAUGCCUACAGUUUGUGGAUCUUGUCAAUUAGGAAAAAGUCAUAGGCUCCCUUUAGCUUCUUCCUCAAGUCGUAGCUUAUUCCCUUUCGAUUUGGUGUAUUCUGAUGUUUGGGGGCCUUCUCCGCAUCUUUCCAUUAAUGGAAAUAAGUAUUUUGUUCA